rnacentral:rRNA from 1 species
CCUACGGGAGGCAGCAGUGAGGAAUAUUGGUCAAUGGACGAGAGUCUGAACCAGCCAAGUAGCGUGAAGGAUGACUGCCCUAUGGGUUGUAAACUUCUUUUAUAUGGGAAUAAAAUGUUCCACGUGUGGGAUUUUGUAUGUACCAUAUGAAUAAGGAUCGGCUAACUCCGUGCCAGCAGCCGCGGUAAUACGGAGGAUCCGAGCGUUAUCCGGAUUUAUUGGGUUUAAAGGGAGCGUAGGUGGAUUGUUAAGUCAGUUGUGAAAGUUUGCGGCUCAACCGUAAAAUUGCAGUUGAAACUGGCAGUCUUGAGUACAGUAGAGGUGGGCUGAAUUCGUGGUGUAGCGGUGAAAUGCUUAGAUAUCACGAAGAACUCCGAUUGCGAAGGCAGUUCACUGGACUGCAACUGACACUGAGGCUCGAAAGUGUGGGUAUCAAACAGGAUUAGAUACCCCAGUAGUC